CCGCUUCUGAUUGGUCUUAAAAUUCAUCACCGUAAAGACGGAGAGAAGCCUUAAAUGCAUUGUAAGAGCUGGAGUAUAGCUCCCUUCACAGUUUUGAACUGAACAGACACUCAGGAGGUUUAUUUCUUUGAGCAUUUGAUGUUAAGUGUUGGACCUCAAAAUUAUCUAAGGAUCCUCAGAACUUCCAGGCAGUCCUCUAACAAGGUUGAAGCAGAGGCAGGUGACAAGCGUCUGGAGCAGCAGGAGAUCCAGUUGUGCUUCCCAUCAGUCCGUCCAGACUGAGGCCCUGGAAGGCUCCGAAGAAGGAAUCAUCCUUUGCUGGGGCCGGUUUCCUAGCUGUGGUGGUCUGCUGCAAGUGGGAGAAAAGUGUUAGAUUUUGAUACUGUUCAGCCUGGUACACUCUGAGCCAGGAGUCAGGGACUUUCUGGCUGCUGCAGGGAAGGCUUCUCCUCCUACUGAUGCUCUUCCUGCGGGC